GUGACUAUUACAUCUCUGCACAAAGGAAAUUGGAGGGCUUUGGGAGGGGGUUUUCCAGUGUGAAUCUUUGUAGAACUAAUUGUUUGUAAAUUGUUUCUAGUGAAGUGAUGGGUAAAAUUAAUUUUUUUUUCAGGUUUCAUUCUAGUGCGGAAAAUGAAUAUUUUGGGAUAUAUUGUUAUUAUAACAAAGUCAGGUGUUCAUGCUUUCCGGUACCUGCUAAACAAAAUUACUUGUUAUUUUGGAAGAUUUGAAUAUCAACAUGGCUUUCUAAGCCAAAGAGAGCUAAGAACGCCUUCAGAAACAAAAAACAAAGAGGCAUGAAAGUAUAAUGUUUGUUCUAUUUUGACCUUCUAGAGGUCUUCCAAUAAUUCUUCUGGGCUUUUCAUGUCUGAUUUUGCUCAGUCAGUGAUGGGGUUGACAGUUUUAAUUCUGUUGCUAACACGUAGAAUUAAUUCAUGAUUUUAACACUGACAUCUGUAAAAAGAUUCAGACAUUAUCAUAUCAGAUAUUUUCUUGGCCAUCUUUUUGAAGUCUGAGGUUCUUUCUUAUAAGGUGGACCCUACUUGAUUGAUGCAAAAAUAAGUUUAAUCAAAACUCGUGUAGAAUAUGAUGCAUGUUGUAAGCAAUCAGAACAAUGUAUAUGUAUCUUGAGAUUCAAAGAACUUUACAACAAAGUUAUAACAGUUUACUUAUUCAUGAAAAUAAUGGGUGUUUAGCUUUAUCAUGGGAAUUAACUGGAUAAGGGGGCAUGGGGAGGGAGGGGCAUAGUAUCUUCAUAACAGUGGUAUUCUCCUUAUAGUCACAAAGUACAUGUAAACAUUAAUAAGCACCUGUACCGAUUCACAGGUGAUACCAACUCCAUCCCGAAGUACCUCAGUUUUGGGCCCUGGUCAGUAACUGUUUCCUUGUUUAUGUUUUGGUUUUUUUAUUUGGGGGGGGGAACAACAGUAGAACCUUGUUCAGCAAUAGGUUAGAAGUGAAACUAAGUGAAGAAAAGAAAUAGAUUAAAUUUAAAGUAAUACUUAACAUUGUGGCCUGGAGCUAGAUAAUGGGGUUAGGAUAGGGGAGAGGAUGAGGGGGGGUUAGAGGUUAGAGAGCAGCUUAGCUAAUCUUGUUAGGAUCAUUUUA
rnacentral:lncRNA from 1 species